rnacentral:rRNA from 1 species
UAAUACGGAGGGUGCAAGCGUUAAUCGGAAUUACUGGGCGUAAAGCGCGCGUAGGCGGUUUGUUAAGUGAGAUGUGAAAGCCCAGGGCUUAACCUUGGAACUGCAUCUCAUACUGGCAGGCUAGAGUACGGUAGAGGGGGGUAGAAUUCCAUGUGUAGCGGUGAAAUGCGUAGAGAUGUGGAGGAAUACCAGUGGCGAAGGCGGCCCCCUGGAUCGAUACUGACGCUAAGGUGCGAAAGCGUGGGGAGCAAACAGGAUUAGAUACCCUGGUAGUCCACGCUGUAAACGAUGUCAACUAGCCGUUGGAAGGGUAAUCCUUUUAGUGGCGCAGCUAACGCACUAAGUUGACCGCCUGGGGAGUACGGUCGCAAGAUUA